rnacentral:rRNA from 1 species
AUUGAACGCUGGCGGCAGGCCUAACACAUGCAAGUCGAACGAGGGGCGGAGGGGUGAGUAACGUCUGGGAAAUUGCUUGAUGGAGGGGGAUAACUAGGGGAAACGGUAGCUAAUACCGCAUACCAUCGGAUGAGCCCAGAUGGUAUUAGCUAGUAGGUGGGGUAAAGGCUUACCUAGGCCACGAUCCCUAGCUAGUCUGAGAGGAUGACCGGCCACACUGGAACUGAGACACGGUCCAGACUCCUACGGGAGGCAGCAGUGGGGAAUAUUGCACAAUGGGCGCAAGCCUGAUGCAGCCAUGCCGCGUGUAUGAAGAAGGCCUUCGGGUUGUAAAUUACUGUCAGCGGGGAGGCGUUACCUGCAGAAGAAGCACCGGCUAACUCCGUGCCAGCCGCCGCGGUAAUUC